rnacentral:rRNA from 1 species
CCUGUAGUCAUUACCUCGAGACCCGAAGCCAGUCGAUCUAUGCCUGACCAAGUUGAAGCCCUACGAAAGUGGGGUGGAGGACUGAACCGGUUCUGAUGUGCAAAUCGUUCGGAUGAGCUGCGUAUAGGGGCAAAAGACCAAUCUAGACUGGCAAUAGCUGGUUCCCCCCGAGACUACUCGCAGGUAGAUCUCUGACGAGGUGGAGUACACGGUAGAGCACUAAUUGGGCGCUUAGGGGAAGAAAUUCCUCGGUGCCUUGUUAAACUCCGAAUGUGUAUUCAUCGUAGAAUCAGGGUAGUGAGGGCAUCUGGGGUAAGCUUGAUGUCCGAAAGGGAAACAACCCAGCCUUACGUUAAGGUCCCUAAGUGUUAGCUAAGUGUCAAAGAACAAAAAGCGUUUACGAUCUCAGACAGCCAGGAGGUUGGCUUAGAAGCAGCCAUCCUUUAAAGAUAGCGUAACAGCUCACUGGUCGAGAUUGUAUGCCUUGAAAAUGGACGGGGCUAAGUUAACCACCGAUACGUAAGCACUCCUAAAUGGAGCUGAGUAGGGGGGCGUCGUGCGUGGGUAGAAGUUUGGUUGUAAGAUCAAGUGGACCGCGUUCGAACGAGAAUCCUGGGAAAAGUAGCAGCAUAGUAGAGUGAGAAUCUCUACCACCGAAAGGGCUAGGUUUCCUCGACGAUGUUCAUCAGUCGAGGGUUAGUCGGUCCUAAGGCAACCCUUAAUUGAAGUUGCCGAAUGGGAAACAGGUUAAUAUUCCUGUACUUUUCAAACAUUUGCUCAUGUUUUAACGCAUUCGGGUAGAUUUUGCAGACUCGUCUGUCUGUCUAAGCGUAGUAAGCCAAGGGAGUACCGUCAUGGUGAGAACUUGGUCAAAGCGCAAAUGGUCUGUCGUUUUAGACGGAUUUUAUCAAGCUCGAGUGCCCGUGAAAAGAGACAUGAGAUGUCGUUUGGAGAACCGUACCGAGAACUGACACAGGUGCCCCUGGCUGAGUAAGCCAAGGUGUGUCGGCUAAAUCCAGGCGAGGGAACUCGGCAAAUUAGCCCCGUACCUUCGGUAUAAGGGGUGCCUGCUUUGCGAAAAGCAGGUCUCAGUGACUAGGGCGCUCCGACUGUUUAAUAAAAACGUAGGAGACCGCAAGUCCGAAAGGAUGUGUAUGGUCGCCGAAUCCUGCCCAGUGGCGGUAUCUGAAAACCUAUUUCAAUGGGGCGAAGGACCGCUAAACGGCGGGGGUAACCAUGACCCUCUUAAGGUAACCACAAGUUCAUUGUUGCCUUAAUUAAAUUCGGCUAUUUGCUGGAACAUCUGAGAAUCCAACAGUACCAUCAAUUGGUAAAAAUCUGUUGGUGCAGACAAUCAGCAGGGAAGUCCGUUGAUCAUAUAAUGGAUCCCUCAGAGACUAUACGCCGAACACUCAGUGAUGAGUGAAGAUAUAGUCCGACCCUCAUGGCGACAUGAGGAGACUGCUAGAAAUAGCAGCCCGCCUCUCGAUAAAGAGAGGUCACUGAAGUAACAGAUGUGAGCGUAAUACCUUGCCGCUUAAUUGGCGGCUUGCAUGAGUGGCUUAACGAGAGCGCUACUGUCCCCGCUUGGAAACCGGUGAAAUUGACUUACUGGCGCAUAGUCCAGUACCUUCCAGAAGGGAGCGAAGACCCCGUGGAGCUUUACUACAGCCUGUCGCUGUGAUACGGUUUGGAUUGUGAAGCGUAGGUGGGAGCCGUCGAAGCCUAGACGCUAGUUUAGGUGGAGGCGCCAAUGGGACACCACCCUAUCUUUGCCGUACCACUAACUUGCAAAAGGACACCGAUCGGUGGGUAGUUUGGGUGGGGCGCCACGCGCUCGAAAAGAUAUCAAGCGCGCCCAAUGGUCACCUCAAGGAGGUCAGAAAUCUCCUGUAGAAUGCAAGGGUAAAAGGUGGCUUUACGUGGAUUGGGACAAUAACAAUCCACGUUGCGAAAGCAGGGCCUAGCGAACCAAUCAACCUCAUUUAUGGGGGUGAUUGAUAACAGAAAAGUUACCCCGGGGAUAACUGAGUCGUCUCCAGCAAGAGCCCAUAUCGACCUGGAGGCUUGCUACUUCGAUGUCGUCUCUCCGCAUCCUGGCGGUGCAGCAGCUGCCAAGGGUGGGGUUGUUCGCCCAUUAAAGCGGAUCGUGAGAUGGGUUUAGACCGUCGUGAGACAGGUUUGUUGCUAACUUCUGGAAGCGUUGAUGUUUGAGGGGAAAGACCCUUUAGUACGAGAGGAACAAGCCAACGGCACCUCUGGUCUAUCGGCUGUCUGGCAAGGCAUGCCGAGCAGCUACGUGCUCGCGGAUAAGGGCUGAAAGCAUCUAAGCCCGAAACCGUCCCUGAAAAGAGACCGCUUAGAGUACUCGUAAAAGACGAGUUUGAUAGAGCUGGUGUGUAAGCACCAAGGCAACGAGGUGUUCAGCUCGCAGCUACUAAUAAC